AGAGAUCAAGGAAGAGGAACACGAUAAAAUGCUUAUGGCUCCAAGAAGAAAUAGGGUGAGAGAUAGGACCACAAAUUGUUUACUCAUUUCAACCAGUAAACAUGUCCUGCAAUGUCAAUCUGUCUUUCUGCCACAGCAGUUCUGCGCCUCCUGAGUUGUUUCCAUCUCCCUCCAGUCAUUCAGGACCACCAAUGAGAUUUGUGAUAUUUGGAAAACUGCCACCCAGUGCCUCCUUUUCCUAAUCUGCUGAAUAAAGUUAAUAAGACU
rnacentral:lncRNA from 10 species